GCAGUCGAGGGGUAACGAUGGAGCUUGCUCCAGGCGACGACCGGCGCACGGGCGAGUAUCGCGUUUGCAACCUACCUUUAACUGGAAGAUAGCCCGAAGAAAUUCGGAUUAAUACUCCAUAAUACUAUAGUUUGGCAUCAUUUUAUAGUUAAAGCUCCGGCGGUUAAAGAUGGGCAUGCGUAACAUUAGCUAGUUGGUGAGGUAAGAGCUCACCAAGGCUACGAUGUUUAGGGGGUCUGAGAGGAUGGUCCCCCACACUGGUACUGAGACACGGACCAGACUCCUACGGGAGGCAGCAGUGAGGAAUAUUGGUCAAUGGGCGAAAGCCUGAACCAGCCAUGCCGCGUGAAGGAUGACGGCCCUAUGGGUUGUAAACUUCUUUUGUACGAGAAGAAACCCUCCUACGUGUAGGGGGCUGACGGUAUCGUACGAAUAAGCGUCGGCUAACUCCGUGCCAGCAGCCGCGGUAAUACGGAGGAUGCAAGCGUUAUCCGGAUUUAUUGGGUUUAAAGGGUGCGUAGGCGGAAAAUUAAGUCAGUGAUGAAAUCCUGCGGCUCAACCGUAGAACUGUCAUUGAUACUGAUUUUCUUGAAUACAGUUGAGGUAGGCGGAAUAUGUAAUGUAGCGGUGAAAUGCUUAGAUAUUACAUAGAACACCGAUUGCGAAGGCAGCUUACUAAACUGUGAUUGACGCUGAGGCACGAAAGCGUGGGGAGCGAACAGGAUUAGAUACCCUGGUAGUCCACGCCGUAAACGAUGAUUACUCGUUGUUGGCAAUACAUCGUCAGCGACUGA
rnacentral:rRNA from 1 species